rnacentral:tRNA from 1 species
UGUGGCAGAAAAGUGCUAUGGAUUUAAGCUCCUUCUAUGGAGGAAUAUUCCCUCCCAUUAAAA